UACAGAGGUCUCAAGCGUUGUUCGGAUUCAUUGGGCGUAAAGGGUGCGUAGGCGGCGCGGUAAGUCGGGUGUGAAAUCUUGGAGCUUAACUCCGAAACUGCAUUCGAUACUGCCGUGCUUGAGGACUGGAGAGGAGACUGGAAUUUACGGUGUAGCGGUGAAAUGCGUAGAUAUCGUAAGGAAGACCAGUGGCGAAGGCGGGUCUCUGGACAGUUCCUGACACUGAGGCACGAAAGCCAGGGGAGCAAACGGG
rnacentral:rRNA from 1 species